GGGAAAUUUUCUAUUCAAGUUAUAUCAUUUAAAAACGUUUAGAAAUAUAGAUCUUUUUCGAUGUACAAUUUGGCCCGCUUGGAGAUCUUAAUAAUUGUUUGUCUACUUUCGUCUAUUUAUAUUGCUGAAAUUCUUUAAUCAAGGAUUUGUACAAGCCCUUGCUAUAAUAUAAUGAAUCUCGUCGCCAAUAUCACCAUAAUAACUUAAAGAACAGAUACAAUCUUAUCCUAAAUAGUUUGCCAUCUAACAAUUCAAAAAGAAAUUUUGAGUCGAAACUGAAGUACCAAAUCUUUAAAAAGAAUCAC
rnacentral:lncRNA from 1 species